AUUGAACGCUGGCGGUAGGCCUAACACAUGCAAGUCGAACGCGAAAGUCCUUCGGAGUGAGUAGAGUGGCGGACGGGUGGAGUAACGCGUAGGAAUCUAUCCUGUAGUGGGGGAUAACGUUUCGAAAGGAACGCUAAUACCGCAUACGCCCCAAGGGGGAAAGCGGGGGAGUCUUCGGACCUCGUUGCUAUAGGAGGAGCCUGCGUCGGAUUAGCUAGUUGGUGAGGUAAAGGCUCACCAAGGCGACGAUCCGUAGCUGGUCUGAGAGGAUGAUCAGCCACACCGGAACUGAGACACGGUCCGGACUCCUACGGGAGGCAGCAGUGGGGAAUAUUGCGCAAUGGGCGAAAGCCUGACGCAGCCAUUACCGCGUGUGUGAAGAAGG
rnacentral:rRNA from 1 species